AUUGAACGCUGGCGGCAUGCCUUACACAUGCAAGUCGAACGGCAGCAUGAUCUAGCUUGCUAGAUUGAUGGCGAGUGGCGAACGGUGAGUAAUACAUCGGAACGUGCCCUGUAGUGGGGGAUAACUAGUCGAAAGAUUAGCUAAUACCGCAUACGACCUGAGGGUGAAAGUGGGGGACCGCAAGGCCUCAUGCUAUAGGAGCGGCCGAUGUCUGAUUAGCUAGUUGGUGAGGUAAAGGCUCACCAAGGCGACGAUCAGUAGCUGGUCUGAGAGGACGAUCAGCCACACUGGGACUGAGACACGGCCCAGACUCCUACGGGAGGCAGCAGUGGGGAAUUUUGGACAAUGGGGGCAACCCUGAUCCAGCAAUGCCGCGUGUGUGAAGAAGGCCUUCGGGUUGUAAAGCACUUUUGUCCGGAAAGAAAUCGCACUUGCUAAUAUUAGGUGUGGAUGACGGUACCGGAAGAAUAAGGACCGGCUAACUACGUGCCAGCCGCCGCAGUAACAC
rnacentral:rRNA from 1 species